rnacentral:rRNA from 1 species
UACAUGGGGUGCAAACGUUGCUCGGAAUCAUUGGGCGUAAAGCGCGCGUAGGCGGCCUCAUAAGUCCGUUGUGAAAGUCAAAGGCUCAACCUUUGAAAGCCGAUGGAUACUGUGAGGCUAGAGUCCGGAAGAGGCGAGUGGAAUUCCUGGUGUAGCGGUGGAAUGCGCAGAUAUCAGGAGGAACACCAAUAGCGAAGGCAGCUCGCUGGGACGGUACUGACGCUAAGGCGCGAAAGCGUGGGGAGCGAACAGG